GCCGGCCUGAGAGGGCGACCGGCCACACUGGGACUGAGACACGGCCCAGACUCCUACGGGAGGCAGCAGUGGGGAAUAUUGGGCAAUGGACGAAAGUCUGACCCAGCGACGCCGCGUGAGGGAUGAAGGCCUUCGGGUUGUAAACCUCUUUCAGCAGGGAAGAAGCGAAAGUGACGGUACCUGCAGAAGAAGCACCGGCUAACUAUGUGCCAGCAGCCGCGGUAAUACAUAGGGUGCAAGCGUUGUCCGGAAUUAUUGGGCGUAAAGAGCUCGUAGGUGGUUNGUUACGUCGGAUGUGAAAAUCURGGGCUCAACCCNAGACCUGCAUCCGAUACGGGCUAGCUUGAGUUUGGUAGGGGA
rnacentral:rRNA from 1 species